GGAAGCGUGCCCGAACAGCCCAAGGACUACUUUGAUAGAGUACAUAAUAGAGGUUUAAGUCCUCUCACUUCCU
rnacentral:tRNA from 1 species